GAGACAACAGUUCGAAAGGACUGCUAAUACCGAAUGUUGUAGAGUUUCUGCAUGGGAAUCCUACUAAAGGUGGCCUCUACUUGUAAGCUAUCGCUUUACGAUGGGUCUGCGUCUGAUUAGCUAGUUGGUGGGGUAACGGCCUACCAAGGCGACGAUCAGUAGCCGGUCUGAGAGGAUGAACGGCCACAUUGGAACUGAGACACGGUCCAGACUCCUACGGGAGGCAGCAGUGGGGAAUCUUCCGCAAUGGGCGCAAGCCUGACGGAGCAACGCCGCGUGAGUGAAGAAGGGUUUCGACUCGUAAAGCUCUGUUGUCGGGGACGAAUGUGGAGAUGGUGAAUAACCAUUUUCAAUGACGGUACCUGACGAGGAAGCCACGGCUAACUACGUGCCAGCAGCCGCGGUAAUACGUAGGUGGCGAGCGUUGUCCGGAAUUAUUGGGCGUAAAGGGAGCGCAGGCGGGAAGGUAAGUCUAUCUUAAAAGUGCGGGGCUCAACCCCGUGAGGGGAUGGAAACUAUCUUUCUUGAGUGCAGGAGAGGAAAGCGGAAUUCCUAGUGUAGCGGUGAAAUGCGUAGAUAUUAGGAGGAACACCAGUGGCGAAGGCGGCUUUCUGGACUGUAACUGACGCUGAGGCUCGAAAGCGUGGGGAGCGAACAGGAUUAGAUACCCUGGUAGUCCACGCCGUAA
rnacentral:rRNA from 1 species